UCAGAGGGCCGGGCGGCCGCGGCGUGGCGGGUAACUUCCACGGCGAGGAAAGUCCGGGCUCCACGAAAUAACGGUGCCAGCUAACGGCUGGCUGGGGAAACCCAAGGGACAGUGCAACAGAGAGCAGGUCGCUAAGGCCUAGGCCAAGCGAAAGUGAAAGGGUGCGGUAAGAGCGCACCGCGGACCCGGCAACGGGGACGGCAUGGUAAACCCCACCGGGAGCAAGACCGAAUAGGGACGGCGCGGGGAGCAAUCCCCUAGGCAGAUUUCGGCCGAGACCGUCCGGGUUGGUUGCUUGAGGCCGGGAGCGAUCCCGGCCCUAGAGGAAUGGUCGCCCAUCCGCCUACCUCCACAAGAGGCGGCGGUGGACAGAACCCGGCUUACAGGCCCUCUGGCAGU
rnacentral:RNase_P_RNA from 1 species